AACCUUCCUAUUCAAUAAACAAUCAGGAAGGUAGAAACUUUACUGCAGCGCAACAUGUAAGAAUAUCCACUUUCAGAAAGGCAGAAUACAGAUAGUAUUACUCCAAAUAAUCACUCCUACCCACUGCAGCAAGCAAAAAGUAAUCAGGUCCUAAAAGAGAAUUAUAUAGCCAAAAACGUUUGAGCAAGCCCUUUUUGACAGUUUCUUUCAAAUCAUCAUAUUCCUCAAUGAGCAAAAACAGUGUCAUUGCGCCUAGGAGGUCUGUCAGGGAUUGUUCCCGGCUUGAAUUUUGAAGCCUCAUGUUUAGCCAAUUCUGGAGGCACAGGACUGUUACUCUGGAUAAGCAUCUGCUUGAGAUCAUAAAAUACAUCAGUAUCAUGGAAGGUCAAGAAUGUUGUAGCCACACCAGUCUUCCCAGCACGGCCUGUUCGUCCAAUACGAUGAGUAUACAUUUCGAUAUUCCCAGGCAUAUCAUAAUUGAUGACAUGGGCCACAUCAGGUAUAUCAAUCCCACGCCCGGCAACAUCAGUGGCAACAAGAACAUUGUACCUCUUGGUCCUAAACCCUUCAAGGCUAAUUUCUCUCUGCUCCUGUGACUUCCCACCAUGCAGAGUAGUAACACGAUAACCUAACUUAUCCAGAUUUUUUGCAACCAUGUCUGCGUUCUUCUUAGUGUUAACAAAGACAAUUGCCGUCUUAUCUCCAAGCUCGUCAAGCAAUCUCUGCAGUCUUGAAAAUUUCUCAGAUUCUUUCAUCAUUACCACAUGUUGCGAUAUCAGUUCAGUAGCCUUGCCAGCAGUGCCAAUUGUGACGACCACAGGAUUUCUCAAAUACUUCCUAGCAAGCCGUUCCACAGCAGGAGGCAUGGUAGCACUAAACAUAUAAGUAGUCCUAUAUAUCCUUUUCUCAUCAAGCUCCUCAUCUUCAUUCUCCGGCUUUAAAUUACUAGAAGGCAUUGCAUCCAGCACCCCUACAACUUGCGGCUCAAAACCCAUAUCAAUCAUCCUAUCAGCCUCAUCCAGAACAACAUAAUUACAUUGAUUCAAAACUGCAUACCGCCUCUCCAAACAGUCAAUCAGACGACCUGGUGUAGCAAUCACAACCUCACAUCCUUGCCUAAUCCUGAACCCUUGUUCCUCAAUAGACUGUCCACCGACAAUAGAAACGACUUUAAUACCCAAAUAGUGAGCAAACUUAACAGUCUCCUCCUCAAUCUGCUGAGCAAGUUCACGAGUAGGGGCCAUUACAACAGCAUAAGGUCCCUCAGCCUCAUUCUCUUCACUUAUAGGCGGUAAUCUAGAAAUAUAAGUUAACAUAGGCAAUACAAAAGCAGCAGUUUUACCAGAACCAGUCUCCGCAAUCCCAAUAACAUCUCUCUGCUGUAAACCCAACGGAAUGGCAGCCAUUUGAAUGGGCGACGGAUUCUUGUAACCAACUCUCUCAACUGCUCUUAACAGCUCAGGGGUCAAUUUACCCUCAGCCCAGUUCCUCAUUGGCCUCGGAAUCUUCGACCCUUUAUAAGAAAUGUUAAAAUCUUCCCUGAAAAUCCUCCAAUCUCUCUCAGUCAUUUCUUCAAGCUUCUUCUCAGACCAAUGCCUAUCAACUCUCAUAUCAAAAGUAUCAUACAAAUCAGCAGCUUCCUCUUUUAGUUUCAAAGCAGCAGCCUCCUCAGGCUUCUCUUCAACCCCUUCUUUUUUCCUAAUCUCUUCUCUCAUCUCUUUCUCAUUCUUGGCAGCCAACUUUUUCUGCUCCCUUCGAUCCAUCCCAGCACGAAACCCUCUCCCAAACAAAAGCUGAGCCUCGUGAGGGUUUUGAUACAGAGCAUUCAUGUCACGUGAUGUGUCCUCGGUAUUUUCCCAGUCAAACGAAAACCUAAACUUCUCGCUCGGCUUAAUGACCCUUUUCUUCGGCUUUUUAGAUCCCAAAUACUGCUCUUUGAUCAGCUCCAAUUCUCUCUCCCGCUCACGCUCGGCUAAUUUCUCCAAACGCGCACGCUCCCUCGCCUUCGCUUCUUCUUCACGCUCGCGGCGGUGUCGCUCACGCUCGCGGUCGCGCGAGUCGGAAGAGUUUCUGCCGUGGGUUUGGGGCUGAGAGAGGAGUUGUUGUUGUUGUUGUUGUUGAUCUUGUUCUUGGCGGCGUUUUUGCUGGGCGAUUUGUUCUUGGCGGCGUUCGAGGGCUAAUUGCUCGCGUUGCGCUUUCGUCAAGAACACGGGCUUCUUGUUGUUGCUGCCGCCUUCGUCCACUAAUCGAUUCAUGUUUUUGAUUGAUUUUUUUUCUAGGGUUAGGGUUUUGAAAAGAGAUUCGCUUGGUUAAUUGCAGGAGGGGAAUUUUGAUAAAAUUAAAACCUUGCUUACUUACUGAACACGGAUUUGAUGACAGACGCUUGCACAAUGCGCUGCGUUUCACUCUCUCACUCUCAUAGAUACACCGUUGACCGAUACUCUUAUUUUCAUUUUUUUUCUCUUCUUUUUCGCGAAAAUAAAAAAAUUACUGCAAAUAUUUUCGGACAAUAAAAUUCAAGAAUACAAAUUAGGGGUGGGAGUUUCUCGGUUCGGUUCGAUUCGAGGCUAGAACUGAACCGAACCAAAAUUCAUCAAUUCAAAAGAUUUCAAAUUGAAUACGAAUUAAAUUUUAGACCCAAACCGAGUCGAAUUGAAAUAUUCAAUUUGGUUCGGUUUAUAUAUUUUCUCAAUUUUAUAAUUUUUAAGUAAUUUUACUAUAUUUUAUAAUUUUCACCUAAUUUUAUUGAAUUUUACAAUUUAUAUAUGUACUUAUUAUUAACUACACUCUACACACAUAGUAACACUAGAUGUAAAUAAAUAAGUACAAAAUCAUCAAGUCAAAAGCAAAAUAAUAAAAGUCCCAAUAUAAAAUAGUUGCAAAUCAUAAACACACCUAAAUUUAAAAUCUAUUACAAAUUAUAAAUCCAUAAAAACAAAAAACAUAAUACAACAAGUCCGUAAUAUUGCAUCGACAUUUGAUAAAAACUCCAUUAUAACACAAGCCUAAACUACAUCCACCGUCCAUAUCACUUGCAUCAAAAUUCAAAGUGAGCCAAAGCACUCAAUAAUUAAAGUAAAUAAAAUAAAGUGAUAUUUAACAAUUAACAAAUAAAUAAAUAAAUACAGUAAGCUUUGGAUCGUAUGAAACAGUAGUCUUUGUAGCGUAUGUCGGAAUAGUGACUUUGUAGAAAUACGGGUGAAGAGACAUGUGCGCUCUCACUUGUGUCUAGAGGACCACCCGGAAAUACAAGAAUAUCAAACAAAUUUUUUUUUUUUUUAAGUAAAUAAUCAAAUAAUUAUUUACAAUGCUUUAUCGGAGAGAAAAUGCCGAAACAAUCAUCUUCAUUUUCGUCUCCAAGAGAAAUGAAAGGCAUAUAUAUAUAUAUAUAUAAUUUAAUUACCUAAAAAAUGGUUUAUCUUGAGCUGUAGUUUUCAUGUUAACCUACCAAGUUGAUCGACCAUUGUUGAUUUGCGAAGUUCUACAUAGAAAAAAGUUAACAAAUUGAACAAGGUUCAUAUUUCUUAAAAAUUAAACUUAAAUAAAAAUUAAACAAAUUGUAUAAGGUUCAUAAUACUUAAAAGUAAAUUAAAAUUAAAAUUUUACAAAAUACACCUUCUACAAGUUGAUCCAUAAACUUAUUGUCUUCAACUAAUUUAUUUAAGUCUGUUGUUGCAUCCACAAAAGGAGAAGACCGCAACCAAUUCUAUAACAAUACCAAUGCUUCAACCAUGUCCGGAGUGAAUGAGCUUCUUUAUUGAUGUAGUAAAUGACCUCCAGUAUUAAAGGCAGACUUAAAAGCAACAGUAGACACCAAAAUAGCAAGAACAUGCCUCGCUAUACUUGACAAGAUUGGAUAAUUGGCACUAUUCACCCUCCACUAUAACAAAAUAUCCAAUUUAGUGUCCAAAUUACUUUUUGCAAUUUGUUUAAUCUUCUCCAUCAAGUAAAGUUCCAACUCAUUUGACAAUUCCGAGUUACCUUCAGUAAUCGCAGCCGCUUUACUGAAUUCGGAGAAAGGAUCCUUAAUCAUAACAUCAUCACCAUCACCCAAAUCCCAAAAUUUUGAACAACUUCCACUUCCAAUAGCUAAAUUUUGGCCUCUGCUUGUACUUCUGCUUGCACUUCCACCACCAUUUCCACUAUCGCCCAGUUUAUACUAUGCAUUAUAAACUCAUAAAGCUUUAGUCAACAAAUUUUUGACCAUUUCCUUCAUCUCAACACAUUUGGCACUAUCUUUACCAUAUAAUUUCUCAAAGCAAUGUGUUGGGAAUUUCAUUUUUCCCUGUGGAUCAAGUAUAGAAGCAAUAAUCAACAACUUAUUUAUCUUGAAACAGCCCUCCUAAUGCUUAUCAAAAUUUUCCUUCAUUUUAAUUGCCAUCAAACCCAAAAGGUUAUCAUUACUAGUAGACAAUUAUUUCAGAGAUUGUUGAAUUUGACAUAUCAAAUUGUAACAAAUAUUUGAUGUCACCUAAAAAAAAAAAAAUGUUAAUAAAGCUAAAGUAAAUUUUGUAUCAUAUAUCAAAAUUAAAAAAUGUAACAAAGAUUUGAUCUUACCUUCAAAGAUGAAGAAAACUGUAAAGUCGCAUUAUAAAAAAUCUUUAAAAACUUGAUUAUGUGACUAGCAUUCUUCCAAUCAUGUACAAUAGUGGUCCCUCUUUUUUCUUCUUCUCACCCUCUUUUUCAUUGCAAUAAGCAUCAUAAAGCCUAUCUUCAAGUGUCAUCCGAUUAAAUACCGACUUAAAUUUUAAUGUGGUAUGCAAUAUAAAAUUCCACCUAAUAGGCAACCCAAAAUCACACUUUCUCGGCAAUUAAUCUUCUCUUGUUGCACACAAAUUUAAAAUUCUUGCAUCCUUGGCGGUGGAAGACCUCACAUACUUUACAGCAUUUUGAACACUAACUAUACUUUGCUCCAAUUUCCUCAAUAUUUUAAUAACAAUCAAAUUCAAUAUAUGUGCCCAACAACAAACAUGCAAAUAAUCCUCAUUCAACACUAAGGCAUCAUCCCUCCAAGUCUUUACUCUAUUAGUUAAAUACCUAAGAGCACCUUCGUUUGGACUUACAUUAUCAACAAUUAUAGUAAACACUCGCUCAAUACCCUGGUCAAUUAGGUGAUUUUCAAGUUGCUUACCAAUUGUCUCCGAUGAAUGAUCAUUAACAGUGUUAAAACUAAUAAUCUUUCUAUGUAAAUUCCAAUCUUUGUUAAUAAAAUGAGUUGUGAUGACCAUGUAGCUAGCUGUUGUAAUGGAAGUCCAGAUAUCAGUGGUCAAAUAUACCCGCUGCUUAUUCCCAACUAAUAAGCAUUUCAACUUAACCUUUUCCUCUAAAUACAUCUUGAUAGUAUCCCUAGUAAUGGUUCUUCGUGAUGGGAGAAGAUAUCUCGAAGCAGCCACACUAAAAAAAUGCCUAAACCUAGAUUCUCCACAAUAGAAAAAGUCAAAUAAUCAAGAAUAAUCAUUUUCACGGUUGCUCAUUUGCAAGCUUUCUGACUGAAUCCUUUUGCUAUAAUUUCAUCACUACCAACAUCUUCAGUUAAAGUUGUUUGAUCUUUCUUAAAGUCCUUGAUUUUUUUACACAUUUCUCAGUUAUGAGGGAGGAGAGAACAAACACAAAUAUUUUUACGUGGUUCAGCAAUCACUGCCUACGUCUACGCCUUCAAGCAAACCAAGCUUGAGGAUUUCACUAUCCAAGCCUUCCAAGGUUUCAAAUGUUUACAAUUGACUUCCAAUGUGUCAAUGGACUUUUACAACAAGAGAUUAUCCACAAUCUCUCCACCCAAGUAUAUCCUAACACUUACAACCUCUCAACUUGAUUUUACAAAAAUGAUUACAAAUAAAUUCCCCUCACACAAUUGUGUUUAAUUACAAAUGAAAGCCUAAUGUGUGUGAAUGAAUGAAAUAAAUACAAAAAUUAUAUGCUCAUAUUAUAGAGGAAUGCUCAAUGAUAACAAUGGUUUUAUCUUCUUAAUUGAAUUUGAUUUAAGGCAUUUUAUAGUUGGAGUAGAAAACUAGACGUUAUUGACUUUCUGGUGAUAACCGGCUUGCCGCUUUGGGUUAACUGAAUUGCCGCUUGAUGUCCUUUUUACAGAAAACUCUGAAUGCAUCAAAGGCAUCAUCCUUAUUAGCUAAGAACAAUACCUAUGUGUAUCUAGAAUAAUCAUCCACAAUUACAAAUGCAUAAUAUUUUCCACUUAAACUAGCAUAUCUAGAAGGUCCAAACAAAUCUAUGUGAAAUAAUUGAAGUGGUUUUGAAGUAUUUUCCUAUAAAAGCUACUAUGGAUGCCAAGUGUUGCGUCGGUUACAAUGCUCUAGUGUCAGCCAGACAAGUAUCCUUCCCUUGCUCUUUAUAAGCAAACUCCCCGGUUUAUAACUUGUAAACGCAAUUCAACAUUUCAAAAUAAAAUUUGAAAAAAUAAUAAUAAUAAUAAUAAAAUAAUUUCAUCCAAAUUCUAUCUGGGAAAAAUGGCUUGCAGGGCAACUGUAAGUUUUCAGAAACAUACUGUUUAAUCACCAGCAAUGGCCAAUACGGUGGUUGAUGAUUGACGAUGCUAAUUCAUUUGCAGGUUUAUUGGAGAUCAAUGCUGAUUGGCUUGGGUGGAAACCGCUCAUUUGCUACAUCAACUACUCCCAAGAUGAAACAUUUUGCACAAACUGCAGAAGCUGCUAAUGGAAAUCACUCUUACUCCAAGUUAGUCAAUAAACACUACUCUAUUAGUUAAUAGUUUUAAAUUCUGCAUUUUAUUAGACUGGACAAUAAUGUAACAAAGUGUGCUCUUAAUCCCAGGUUUUCGGCAACAGGAGAGUUUGCACCUAUCUAUAUGGUGUUGGGACUGGUGGCAGUGGCAGUGACAAUAGGGACACACACAAUCAAACAGCAACUGGCUCAUUCUCCGAGCGUCAGCCUUAGCAAGAAGAAGAGGAGUUCACUUUCCGAAGUGGAAGAUCCAGAAAGCGCUGUGAACUCUUCUGACAAGUUUGUGAACAAAUCUUUCCUGAGGAAGGUGGCUCACAUCCAGGAUGAUAACCGUGUGCUUCCUGAUAUUCCCCACCCUGACCCUUUUACCAGAGCACGAAAGGCAGACACUCCGUAGAUUAACAAGACUGCAGGAGUUGAUGCGAGUCACCUGUGAAACAAACCCAGAUCCAAUUUCUGUUUCCUAUACAUGGUUUCUUAUAGUUUAUUAACACGAGAUGGUGUCAAUUGUUAAUAAAAUUGCUUCAAUUUUUGUUUUCCUUUUCCUUAGUUAAAAGCUUUGCCUAGGCUUUCAUUAGUUAAAAGCUUUGAUAAUGCCGAUGUUAAAUUAUUGGGUCAAUUCUACUGAUAAAAUGGACACCUUAUUAUUGUGUGUGAUAUAUACCGGAGGAUUUUGUUUCAUUCUUUCCUUGUAUUGCUAGCAUUUAAUAUGUUUUCCAAACAACACGAAAUGAAAAUAGAAAACACAAGUUCAAACGUAGUUUUUUUCUUUUUUCCCAAUUUUUCAAGAAGUUUAAACAUAGUUAACAAAAUUGUAAAGCUUCCUUCAAUCUUCCCAAACACCGACCAAAAACAUAAACAAAAACAAAAUUCCUUUCUUUAUAAUCAGUCAAUACCCUACAUCUGAACAAAUGACCGUGAAAGGGUCACCAAUUAGGCACUAACUGCUAACCCCAAGGCCCUUUAUCAACCAACCUCUCCUCAUAUGGGGCUUUCCUCAUUUGGGGUUUUUUGAUGGAGGAUGCCGAAUUGCCAUUACGAAUUCACCAAAUGACCCUAUAGGAUAUAAUCAGCCGAAUUUGAUGCAAUGAUACAUGUACCAACAUCAAAUACUUGCAACUCGUCUAGUUUACAACAAUUUUUGUAACAAUGUUCACAAGUUUUUCAUUAUACUUGCUACGUUUGUGUUAUAUAUAACUAAAGUUAUGGUAUAAAUUUGUAAAUGUAAUAAAAAAUUUUGUGACCAAUAACAAGGGAAAAAAAACUUAUAUGGCGGUAACAUUAACCACAUACACCUAUCAAGGUAGUUUCUCCCCCAAAGCAAACUUCUUGUUCUUUCAGAAAUGUACGAGGCUUCUACUGAUUCUUUUGGAAGGUAUAUCUAAAUAAAAACAAAAGUAAGCAUCAACGUAGAAAAUAAUAACAAUUGCCAAUCUAACAGUGGUAAGCAUUCUCUCUGAAGAUGAGAGAGCUCACAAGUCAACAAAACUUUGCAAUAUUCAUUUAUAAUCAUUUCUGCGACACCAUUUUAGAUAUUUAAUGAUUGAACAACCAUCAAAAACUGCCAAACAGCGCCACUCGGCCUUUGGCCGAGUGGUGAGAGCUGCUGCUCUCCAACUUGGAGAGCAGCAGUUCGAACCCCCACAAUGCAUGUGGGGGUGUUUCCUUCCUCAAAUAAAAUUGAGUGAAGGCAGUCUGCUUCUUUGCCCCAAUGCGAGGAGUAGACAUCCCUCGAAUAUUUGAGAGGGUUAAAAUCUGGACAGCGCUCCAUUAGAUUUGAUGUAUGUUGGUCCCAGUUAUAGUCUGAUUUGUACAUAUUAGUUAUAUUCUCAUGUAAUAUGAGUUGUAAUCUGAGCAAUAAUCUCAUAUAAUCAAAAAAAAAAAAAAACUGCCAAACAGCAUAGUAACAACCACAGAAGCAAAUUCUGAACCCAUCAAGAAGAAUACUAACUCAAGUAUGAAGCACAUAAGCAGGAUUUAUAAAUAUCUUGUUGCUAUGAUGGUUCCAGAAACUAGAAGACAACGAUGAAUGCAAAUACUGAACAUGAAACAAUUGCAUCUACAUGACCUGUGUCUGUUUUCCCAGCAAAACAACACAGUAUAUAAUUAGAAAAUUCAACUUUAAUAUGAAUUCAUAGGAAGAGAGCGAACUAAAGUUACACUGCUAAUUUGAGCUUGUCUAACCACACAACAUAUCACCAGAGGAUAGAAAUUUGUAUAAAGGUGACAGUCACCAGUCACCAUGCAUAAGACCAGCUCUUUAAUAAUAUUUCAUUUGGUCAUUUCACAAACAAGUUUUAAGUUCAACUAUUGUAUAAAUAAUCCAACAGCUUACCAAUCGAAAUUUCAUGAAAGCAUGACUUAGUCAGGAUCUACAUCAUAUCAAGCGUCUGGCAAUACAUCCAUAUACCUGGCUACAUUGAAGCCAGCAAAACCAUGCUAAAAAAGUUAACACAUUCAUAAAAGCAAUAUCAAGAAUCCUCGGAGUAACGUUUAUCACAUUAUAAUCGAGGAGUAAGUUACUGAAAACAUAAAAUAAGUAAGUAAGAAGUCCGUGCUUUAAGAUAAUAUCAGAAUUUCAAGUGAACUACUUAUGUAAGCAUAAAAGAGGGAGGAUUGAAAUUUCAUGACAGCAAGACAUAAGCCUCUGACAAGACGUCCAGACAGUGGCCAAAAUGAAGCCAACUAACCCAUGCUAACAAAGUUAGCAUGUUCACAUACGCAGAAUCAAGCAAUAAUGUCAAACACAUCAAAAUAGGGGAAUUUGUUGCCGAAAACAUAAAAUAAUAAAAAAAUCCAUCUUUGAGAUAAUAUCAGCAUUUAAAAUGAACUAGUUAUGUAAGUAUAAAAGGAGAGGUCAAUGAUACAUCCUCGAUAAUAUGAUUAUCAAAACCUUCCUAUUCAAUAAACAAUCAGGAAGGUAGAAACUUUACUGCAGCGCAACAUGUAAGAAUAUCCACUUUCAGAAAGGCAGAAUACAGAUAGUAUUACUCCAAAUAAUCACUCCUACCCACUGCAGCAAGCAAAAAGUAAUCAGGUCCUAAAAGAGAAUUAUAUAGCCAAAA
rnacentral:lncRNA from 1 species